UACGGAGGGUGCAAGCGUUGCUCGGAAUUACUGGGCGUAAAGGGUGAGUAGGCGGUCUUGUUUGUCUAAGGUGAAAGCCCGGGGCUUAACCUCGGAAGUGCCUUGGAAACGGCAAGACUAGAGUUCUAGAGAGGGUCGCAGAAUUCCCGGUGUAGCGGUGAAAUGCGUAGAGAUCGGGAGGAAUACCUGAGGCGAAGGCGGCGACCUGGAUAGAUACUGACGCUAAAUCACGAAAGCGUGGGGAGCAAACAGG
rnacentral:rRNA from 1 species